rnacentral:tRNA from 1 species
GGACCCUUAGCUCAGUUGGUAGAGCAGUCGGCUCAUAACCGAUCGGUCACAGGUUCGAGUCCUGUAGGGUCCACCA